GAUGAACGCUGGCGGCGUGCCUAAUACAUGCAAGUCGAGCGAACAGACGAGGAGCUUGCUCCUCUGACGUUAGCGGCGGACGGGUGAGUAACACGUGGAUAACCUACCUAUAAGACUGGGAUAACUUCGGGAAACCGGAGCUAAUACCGUAUAACAUGUUGAACCGCAUGGUUCAACAGUGAAAGACGGUCUUGCUGUCACUUAUAGAUGGAUCCGCGCCGCAUUAGCUAGUUGGUAAGGUAACGGCUUACCAAGGCAACGAUGCGUAGCCGACCUGAGAGGGUGAUCGGCCACACUGGAACUGAGACACGGUCCAGACUCCUACGGGAGGCAGCAGUAGGGAAUCUUCCGCAAUGGGCGAAAGCCUGACGGAGCAACGCCGCGUGAGUGAAGAAGGUCUUCGGAUCGUAAAACUCUGUUAUUAGGGAAGAACAAAUGCGUAAGUAACUAUGCACGUCUUGACGGUACCUAAUCAGAAAGCCACGGCUAACUACGUG
rnacentral:rRNA from 1 species